UAUUUGAAAACAAGGGAGCAGAGACCCAGGGAGUCAGUGUCUUGUCCAGGAUCACUCAGUGCAUCCUGGGAAGUAUGAUGAGAAGAUGCUGCUUCCCUAGACAAAAGAAAACCAGGAGCCUGCGGGGAGACAUGGGUGACAUGGGCGACAUGGGGUUUUGAAGGCUCUAGAGCUGACAUGGCUCCACAAGAGCAGACCCCAGCAAGGCUACUUCCAUUUUGUUCCUUUGGUUCACUGUGUUUCUGUUCUGAACUCUUGUUGAGCUUCAUUCAGUCCAUAGCCUGGGAUAAGGAACCAGGUUAGCCCAGCAGCCUCAGGGGGCAACAGGCAGCUCAGAACAGGGAAGGAAGGAGAGGUGAGCUAAGAAAAGAAUCACACAGAAGAAGUGCAUUUCUGGGAAGCAGGUGGGCAGAUUGUAUCUUGUUAAGGCGUGUUAAAAAUGGUUUCCCCUUAACAGAGGUGAGUCCCCAUCCGGGUGGGAUUGUCCAUUCACUUCUCUGUCUCUUUCUCCCGUUGUUGGAUCAAGGGUAGGGGACCCCCCCCCGUACCCCCCAACCCUGCCCCUAAGGGGAGCACAAUGUGACUGUGACCUGCCGUGGCCAACACCAAAAAGACAGUUUAUAAGUGGUGCCUCAGGUGUCAUCAGGGUGACUUGGGUCUGUCUUUGGGGACCCAUUGUGAGAGCUAGCCUAUUACUGGCAUGGCACAGAGAUGGUAAUAAAGACACAAACUGCAGUGAUCCCAUCAUUUACUGCUGCCUGCCAUUUUUAAUGUCCCCGCCAUUUUUUUUAAAGCAGCUGAUAGAACAGAGAGGACAAACUUUAAUAACCCUCUCCUUAAGGAAUGAGGCUGGGCCUCCCUGGAUUAAUUGUCUGAGCCACACACUCCCCAUCCCAGGUAGCCUCUGGGCCCCUGGCUUUCACUUUCCUUGAAUGUACAUUGGACCAGCAAGGGAAGUCUCUUACUGAAGUGCCUGAAUUCACAGCUGAAGUCUUAGAGACACUGGCCUUCCUGUUUUGGCUUGGCUACAAGUUCUAGUCUCCAGUUUCAGGAUCUCUAAAAGGAUUCAUGAACACUCUAUUCAAAUAAGUGGGAAGUAAAACUUGAUAAUCAAACUGUAUCAAAAGCCAGAGGAUUUUAGGGAGCCCCCACCCUCACCCUCAUCCCUACCCCCGAUGUUCUCAUACAUGCUUGUAGGGGACUGAGAGAAGCAUGUCCAUGUAUUUGUGUUCCUAUUUUUAAAAGUAACGCAACACCAGGUGUGGUGGCACAUACCUGUGAUCCCAGCACUGAGAGGUGGAGGCAGGAGGACCAGGGGUUCAAGCCCAGCCUCUGGGCACAGAAGACCUUGUCUCAAAACAAAAGCAGCAAUGUAAAACCAGGAUGGGACAGUCUCAGGACCUCUCCUCGUGUUACAGCAGGAGGGCUACAAAGAGUGGAGGUGGGAAGACUUUAUAGCGCAUGUAGGUAGGACACCUUGGAGAUAUCCUAUGGUAAUGAGGAUGGGUGUACUCUGCCACGCUGAUCCAACCUGUACUGUCCUGUGAGCUGACUGGUGAAUUCCACUCUUGAUGUGGUUUCUGUGUAGUGUGCAUUUGGAAGUGUCCUAGUAGCCUGUUCUAGUUAGUUAGACUGCAGCCCUUUCCCAUCACCUUCAGUGGAGUCCCAGGGCACACAGCUCAUCUCGAUCCUUGUGGGUUGGAAUGGGGAGGAGGAAGCUUUUUUUUUUUUAAUUUUUUAAAAAAUCAUAUCUGCUAAUUUAAGAGUGAGAUUUGCUUUAUGGAAGUCAACUCAAUAAAAACUGCAUUCGAGUUGC
rnacentral:lncRNA from 1 species